AUUUGUCCAAGAUGGCAGAACUGGAGUCUGGUUCCCAAGCCAACCUUUAUGACGCCUGGCAGCAGGAGCUUAAUAACCUCUUUGAGUGAACAAGUUGAGGAUAUAGAACAAUGAAAGAAAUACAUGACAGCAAAAUUCCAUGUACUCAUCUCCACCCAUCUUUUCCAGCCAUUUGCCCUCUAGGAAGCCUCCCAAGAUUAUGAGAAUAGAAAGGACAUUGUUCUGUCCUCCCUCCUCCCUGCUUUUUUUCACCUCCUAGAUGCAGAGGGACCUUUCUACAGAAUAUGUUUAUGGAGAGAAACGUGUAAAGCAAGCCAGUUCCCAGGAACCCAGAUAUCCAUGUGCAAAUGUACAAGUGCAAUUUGCCACAGUCUCUCCCCCUUGGUUGCCUGCCUGGCCCGUAUCCCAAGGAAUAGACCUGCUCUGUGCUCAGAAUCAUUCUACAGCCCUAAGCUCUUCAGCCAGCAAGUUGAUGUGGCCACUUGCAAUUGGUUUCACCCAAUCCAGGCCCAGGCCCAGCUGGUCAUGAUCAUCACUACUGUCCCAAUCUGGAUUUGUGUUUAUGAUUCAGAUACUCCCAAUCUUAGACUAUCAUCAUGGAGUAUAGGAAUUCCUUAAGUAAAUAAAAUUUAUUAUACUUUAAA